GUGGGCAAAGUUGACCCACCAUUGAUUUUGGAUCCUGCGGAUCUCUCUCUGUGCUUCACUCUUGGCCGCCCGGUUUUCGGCAAACCAAUCGGGAUUUCUCCUCUUCUGGAUAACGAGGACCUCUUCCGCGGAUUUGGCGCGAUCUUCAGCCUAAGUCUUGAGGCUACCAGCCUGUGAUCGG